CAAGCGGCGGAGCAUGCGGAUUAAUUUGAUGCAACGCGAAGAACCUUACCAAGGCUUGACAUAUACGAGAACGCUGCAGAAAUGUAGAACUCUUUGGACACUCGUAAACAGGUGGUGCAUGGUUGUCGUCAGCUCGUGUCGUGAGAUGUUGGGUUAAGUCCCGCAACGAGCGCAACCCUCGUUCUAUGUGCCAGCGCGUA
rnacentral:rRNA from 2 species